GAGUAUAUGUGGAAUUGCAAGAUAGUAUAUUGCAUACCACUUUGAGGUCUAUACUUUCAAGGUCAAAAUCUUAUUAGUUAAAAGGUCAAGUUCAUUGUCCGGACCAUAGCUUCUGAUUUGCUGAAGAUAUCUAAAUGGCAUUUUUUGGGAUAUAUGUAGGUUUGAAUGGAAGUAUGUUUCACAGUAAUUUUGGGUCUAUACACCCAAGGCCAAAGUCACGUUGAGGUUAAAAAUUAACUGAACUUUCCUGGUCAUAAUUUCUGAACCGGAGAAGUUAGCUCAAUGAAAUUGUAUAGGUAAUUUUAGAACGGCAAAAAGUUCAUUACGUCCAAGGUCAGAGUCUAAUUAAGUUCUGAGGUCAAAUUGUUUGUCCAAGUCUUAACUUGAAUAUCUGUAAUGGUAAGUAUGUUAGUGGAUUUAGAAUAAAGUAUGGUUUGCUGCAUAUUCUGAAUUCUCAUUCAGAGAUAUUUUCAAAGAAGCACUUUCUUCAAUUGACUGUUAACUACUAUGUUUUAAACUAUUUUAUUUCUAUGUUGAUCUCGAAUAUUAACUUCAAAACAAUCACAAAAAAUUCAAUAAAUUAGUUUGAUCGUUGGUAAAAAGAUUAUGAACUUUGAACAAAUAUUUAAUAAAUGAGUUAAGUGCACAGACAUAUAACUAAGUUGCAAAAUAUAAGUGUAUGUCUCUGUAAUAGCUACACUGCGCGCGGAAUUGGAGGAUUCUGAACGACAAAAAGGUAUGUAAGAACCCGAUAUGGCGAUAGAUAAAUUAACAUUGAUCCCAACAAAAUAACUACCACCGAUAAAAAGAACACUUAUUCGGGCUGCAUCUUUUCCAAAAAGUUAAAAAAAAACUAAAACCUCCACAGCAAACCUGACCCAGAAAAUACCACAGUCCCGAAAUGCAACCAUUUAGUUGGUUUUUUUCCCAAGUGAAUCUACAAUCAUCCUCGACUCCCAAACAGGGCACUUGUCAUUCAAUUCAUUAUUUCGAUCGUUGCCAGUGGCAAAAGAUUAUCAUUGUUCAUCCGACCGUUCGUGAUUCCGUUCGUCCAUUCGGGGCCAUAACUACUGACUUGCUGAAGAUAAUUCAAUGAAAUUUAAGAAGAUAUGCUGGACGACGGGACAGUCUGUCUCGUACAAGCUCAAAUUAUUUACCAAAGGAUACUGUUGAUAAUUCGAUGAAAGUGUAAGAGUAUAUGUGGAAUUGCAAGAUAGUAUAUUGCAUACCACUUUGAGGUCUAUACUUUCAAGGUCAAAAUCUUAUUAGUUAAAAGGUCAAGUUCAUUGUCCGGACCAUAGCUUCCGAUUUGCUGAAGAUAUCUAAAUGACAUUUUUUGGGAUAUAUGUAGGUUUGAAUGGAAGUGUGUUUCACAGUAAUUUUGGGUCUAUACACCCAAGGCCAAAGUCACGUUGAGGUUAAAAAUUAACUGUACUUUUCUGGUCAUAACUUCUGAACCGGAGAAGUAAGCUCAAUGAAAUUGUAUAGAUAAUUUUAGAACGGCAAAAAGUUCCUUACGUCCAAGGUCAGAGUCUAAUUAAGUUCUGAGGUCAAAUUGUUUGUCCAAGUCUUAACUUGAAUAUCUGUAAUGGUAAGUAGGUUAGUGGAUUUAGAAUAAAGUAUGGUUUGCUGCAUAUUCUGAAUUCUCAUUCAGAGAUAUUUUCAAAGAAGCACUUUCUUCAAUUGACUGUUAACUACUAUGUUUUACACUAUUUUAUUUCUAUGUUGAUCUCGAAUAAUCACUUCAAAACAAUCACUAAACAUUUAUUAAAUCAUUUUGAUCGUUUCUAGUAUAAAAAGAUCAUGAAAUAGAACAAAUAUUUAAUGAAUGAGUUAAGUGCACAGACAUAUAACUAAGUUGCAAAAUAUAAAUGUAUGACUCUUUUAUAGCUAAACUGCGCGCGAAAUUGGAGGAAUCUGAACGACAAAAAGCUACUCUCCGCGCUGAAUUGGAGGAAUCUGAACAACAAAAAGCUGUACUCCGUACGGAAUUGGGGGAAGCUAAACAACAAACAGGAGGGCAGCCUUUUUUCCCAAAGGUUAACAAACUAAAACCUCGAAAGAAAACCUGACACAGUAAAUACCUUGGUCUCGACAUGCAACUUUUUUUAAGAUGGUGACUCGGUUACCCAAAAAAUAUUAAACAUACACAUGGCCUAUCAUUCUGCCAGAUUGACCAAUCUACGCAAAUUCGUCAGAAAGCACGGUCAUUAGGCAAUCGCUUACUUCCUUUCUUGAUGCGACUAAACA